ACCUUAUGGGAGUUCCCUUGUACAUUAUUUGUCAUUUUUCCCUUGUUGCUUUUAAUAUUUAAUCUUUGUCUUUAAUUUUUUGUCAGUUUGAUUACUAUCUGUCUUGGUGUAUUCCUCCUUGGGUUUGUCUUGCCUGGGAUUCUCUAUGCUUCCCGGACUUGGUUGACUAGUUCCUUUCCCAUGUUCAGGGAA